rnacentral:rRNA from 1 species
UGGGGAAUCUUGCGCAAUGGGCGAAAGCCUGACGCAGCGACGCCGCGUGAGUGAUGAAGGCCUUCGGGUUGUAAGGCUCUGUGGGGCGAGACGAAUAAGUGCAGCCUAAUACGUUGCAUGAUGACGGUAUCGCCUUAGCAAGCACCGGCUAACUCUGUGCCAGCAGCCGCGGUAAGACAGAGGGUGCAAACGUUGUUCGGAAUUACUGGGCGUAAAGCGAGUGUAGGCGGUCUGCUAAGUCGGGUGUGAAAGCCCCGGGCUCAACCCGGGAAGUGCACUCGAAACUGGCAGGCUAGAGUAUCGGAGAGGUUGGUGGAAUUCUCGGUGUAGAGGUGAAAUUCGUAGAUAUCGAGAGGAACACCGGUGGCGAAGGCGGCCAACUGGACGAAUACUGACGCUGAGACUCGAAAGCGUGGGGAGCAAACA